rnacentral:rRNA from 1 species
UACGAAGGGGGCUAGCGUUGUUCGGAAUUACUGGGCGUAAAGCGCGCGUAGGCGGCUUUGUAAGUUAGAGGUGAAAGCCCGGGGCUCAACCCCGGAAUUGCCUUUAAGACUGCAUCGCUUGAAUCCGGGAGAGGUGAGUGGAAUUCCGAGUGUAGAGGUGAAAUUCGUAGAUAUUCGGAAGAACACCAGUGGCGAAGGCGGCUCACUGGACCGGCAUUGACGCUGAGGAGCGAAAGCGUGGGAGCAAACAGG